AUUGAACGCUGGCGGAAUGCUUUACACAUGCAAGUCGAACGGCAGCACGGACUUCGGUCUGGUGGCGAGUGGCGAACGGGUGAGUAAUGUAUCGGAACGUGCCCAGUCGUGGGGGAUAACGUAGUGAAAAUUACGCUAAUACCGCAUACGAUCUAUGGAUGAAAGCGGGGGAUCGCAAGACCUCGCGCGAUUGGAGCGGCCGAUAUCAGAUUAGGUAGUUGGUGGGGUAAAGGCCCACCAAGCCAACGAUCUGUAGCUGGUCUGAGAGGACGACAAGCCUCACUGGAACUGAUACACGGUGCAGACUCCUACGGGAGGCAGCAGUGGGGAAUUUUGGACAAUGGGCGAAAGCCUGAUCCAGCCAUUCCGCGUGCAGGAUGAAGGCCCUCGGGUUGUAAACUGCUUUUGUACAGAACGAAAAGGUUUCUACUAAUACUAGGAGCUCAUGACGGUACUGUAAGAAUAAGCACCGGCUAACUACGUGCCAGCCGCCGCGGUAA
rnacentral:rRNA from 1 species